rnacentral:lncRNA from 1 species
GGUAAUGUGGGAGUUUGUUUUAUGAAUAAGAAAAUGUGGGAGUUUGUUUUAUAAAUAAGUAAAUGUGGGAAUUGUGGUUUGGAAUGGAAAUAAAGAUGGGGUUUGGAAUAUAUGAAGUAGAAGAUAAGGAAUAUGGGGUUUUGGGGUUUGGGGUUUCGGAUUUUAGGGAUUUAAACGUACUACUCGUUAAUUCCUCGUAAGUUGACGUCGAACUUACGACGUAAUCCUCGUUUAUUCCACGUAGGACAGAAUCGUCGUAAAGGACUUGUUAGGUAACGUGGAAAUAACGACGAAAUUAAAAAAAAUAAAGAAAUCGAAACCCGUUAAUUCCACGUAGGACGGAAUCGUCGUAAACACCUCGUAACAUAAAUAGUCGUAAAUAUCCCGUAUAGUGAAUGACAAACGAGGCACUCUUUAAUUCCAUGUAGGACAGAAUCGUCGUAAACACCUCGUAACACAAAUCGUCGUAAACACCUCGUAGAGAAAAAACUAGAAAAAAAAGAAAAAGAAGAGAGAUACCAGAUUUACAUGUGGCAAGACUUCCA